UACGUAGGGUGCGAGCGUUAAUCGGAAUUACUGGGCGUAAAGCGUGCGCAGGCGGUUUUGUAAGCCAGAUGUGAAGGCCCCGGGCUUAACCUGGGAAUGGCAUUUGGGACUGCAAGGCUUGAGUGCGGCAGAGGAGACUGGAAUUCCCGGUGUAGCAGUGAAGUGCGUAGAUAUCGGGAGGAAUACCGAUGGCGAAGGCAGGUCUCUGGGCUGACACUGACGCUCAUGCACGAAAGCGUGGGGAGCAAACAGG
rnacentral:rRNA from 1 species